CUGGCUCAGGAUGAACGCUAGCGGCAGGCCUAACACAUGCAAGUCGAGGGGCAGCGGGGAUAAGCUUGCUUAUCCGCCGGCGACCGGCGCACGGGUGCGCAACGCGUAUAGAAUCUGCCCUGUACUGGGGAAUAGCCCAGAGAAAUUUGGAUUAAU
rnacentral:rRNA from 1 species